UACCGAUAUGUUGAAGUUCUGAUGAUUUCGUUUACGAAAACUGAUACCAGGUUAUGUCGAAAGUAGGAUUCAUUUAUAGAAAAUGACAAAAAAAAUAGAAAUCGAAAGUAGAGGUAUUUACGGAUAUUAAACACAAACUCGGAUCCUUCAUCCGUUCAUUUCACGAUCAUUCGGAUUUUAACUUUGCUUAAGGACAAAAGCCAGGCCUGAAACAAUAAAUGCUGGAUUGACAGCGACAAUAUUACCAGGUGAUGACAUCAAUGGUCACAGGCGAACAUUACGCGACACCUAGGUCAAGAAUAAAAGAGGGAUGACCGGCAAAAAAAAGUCUGGGUGCGGAGCCUCGGCAAAAAUGUGCUGAGCCCAGAUUACUGUACAGCUUGUCAAGUUUGUUUGCCGAAUGAAGUUCCCAGAGAGGCUUUGAUUGGAGGCAUUUUCCAAGAUGUGUAAGUAUGUGCCUGCUUCUCAACGCGCUGCUUCCGACUGUUAGCCAGCAUAGCCAGCAUAAAGACGCAACACGGAGAGCUGUACAUCUCUUGCAAACAAAGUAUGGUGAAGGAAGUUCAAGGGAUGAAAGAUGCGCAGUACGUGUACACAAAAUUGACACAAGUUAAUGAUGGGCUUUACAGCAUGAAACAGAGGAUCAUUGACAUGGCUGACUAAAGUUAAUUAUAUUUGUCAUUUACAUGCACCACUUGUAUAUAUAUAUAUAUAUAUAUAUAUGUAUAUAAAUAUAAUAUAUAUAUAUGAAGAGUGUUGCCAACUUUACAGAAAUAAAUGAAUAGAAGGAAUCAUUUUACUAGCCAGAUUCAACAUGUGUAUUUACUGAUAGUAAGAAACACAUUUAUACAAGUAACUUUAAAUAAGCCUGAUGGUUUAGAGGUACAAAGAAAUCAGAUGUAGGUUUUAAUGAAAUGCAGAAAUUGGAUAAGUGCUGUCAUGUUUUUGAAUUAUAAAACAUGAAGCAAUAUAUAAAAUAUUGCUUAAUCUGAUAUCUAAUAUCUUUUUUUGUGAAAUUAAACGAAAACUUGUUUUACAGAAAGCAACUAGUGAACUGAAGAUGCCGGACUAUCCAUAUGGCCAAACUACAAACAGAAAUUAUUUAGCUUAAAACAAAAGUGUCAUCUGAAUCUGACGUGGAAUUGACAAGUGAGUCGCCACUGUUUUGGACCACUUGAUACAGCUAUAGCAGAUAUAGCACCCCAUCACCACCAGCUUCACAUCGACGUUCUUGACCUAUCACAAAAACAACAGCGCAACUGUAUCCCCACCAGCUUUAGCGAGACAUUCAAAACACCAGCCCUGAUAUAAGGCCAGCCCGAGGCAACCAUAGAGCACAGAAACCAGUGGAAACAUUAACCGUAUGCGAAAUGAUCAUAGCAAAGUUAACACAACACUCACGGACUUCUACCAAUGGAUGAAAAGUGAAGUGCAGGAAAAAUACUAGACAUAAUUCUGCCUGGGAAAAUGCUUCGGAUUCAACAUGAAGAUGUGUGUACUAAGACACUUUACUUCCGGAAAUAGUCUCAGAGUGAAAUGAAAUUCUUUAUUCAUAUUAAUAAAGAAUAUAAUAUAUUUAUUUAUAACAUGCUAGUUCAUUUGUGAGAACUUGUACUGCUUUUUGGAAAAUAAAAUUGCCCAUGACAUGGGUAUUGCUUUUUUACAUUUAACAAAACUGUUCUAAUCACAAAUGUAUCAUGUCAUGCCAGCAGGAAUUAUUUGUUGCUUUUUAGUACCCCAAUGGGCAAAAUGCAACAUACUUUAAAAAUAGAUUUGUAAUAGAAUAGAAAUGUCUAUAAUUCAACUACAACACCAAUACUAAAAUCUAAUUAGGUGCAUACAUUUUUGCUUGAUGCCAAUGAUUCAUAUGUUAAUGUUACACCCUUAUAUUAUAAUGAAUAAAACUGCUUGCAAAAAGUUCCUGCCAUUUUUUGUCCAAAUAUCUUAUAUCCUCAGUCUUGUUUUUAGUUCUCUGUUUGUUUGUUUUUUAUAAUGAUCAUGUUUCUUUCUCUUUUUUUGAUACUGUACAUGAACUGUCCUUGUUUGUAUUCUACGUACAAAAUAUGUUGUUUUUGUAUAUGUAUCUCAUAAAAUAAACAUUACAGUAAAGAAAAUAUUUGUCAUUAUAUGUGACAUGUAAGGCCUGAGUCCCAACUUAGUGCAUAAAACAAAGUCUCGGAAUUUGCUCGCGUGCCCAACUGCAUUCAUACAGCAAAAACGUAUGAGAAAUGCGAUUAACCCUUAAGUGAAUGAAGCUGUUAUAUACUUGUAUAGCAUGGACAAUGUCAAUCCGGUCAAUCUUUCCCUGUGCACACCAUCUUGCUGAAAUUCACUCCCUUCUGUACACUGAUAUGGAUGGGUGUCUUUUGAUUCAUCU